CAGUAGCCGCGGUAAUACGAAGGGUGCAAGCGUCACUCGGAAUUACUGGGCGUAAAGCGUGCGUAGGUGGUGGUUUAAAUCCGUUGUGAAAGCCCUGGGCUCAACCUGGGAAUUGCAGUGGAUACUGGGUCACUAGAGUGUGGUAGAGGAUAGUGGAAUUUCCGGUGUAGCAGUGAAAUGCGUAGAGAUCGGAAGGAACAUCUGUGGCGAAGGCGACUAUCUGGGCCAACACUGACACUGAGGCACGAAAGCGUGGGGAGCAAACAGGAUUAGAUACCCCCGUAGUCCCUGUCUCUUAUAC
rnacentral:rRNA from 1 species